rnacentral:rRNA from 1 species
UACGUAGGGGGCUAGCGUUGUCCGGAAUCAUUGGGCGUAAAGCGCGUGUAGGCGGUCCGGUAAGUCCGCUGUGAAAGUCGGGGGCUCAACCCUCGAAUGCCGGUGGAUACUGUCGGGCUAGAGUGCGGAAGAGGCGAGUGGGAUUCCUGGUGUAGCGGUGAAAUGCGCAGAUAUCAGGAGGAACACCAAUUGCGAAGGCAGCUCGCUGGGACGUUACUGACACUGAGGCGCGAAAGCGUGGGGAGCGAACAGG